rnacentral:lncRNA from 1 species
UGGUAUUGUUGAGAGGAAGCAUAGAACUCUACUUGAAACUUGUAGGGCUUUGCUCUUUCAAUAUGGUUUGCCUAUAUCUUUCUGGGGGGAUUGUUUAUUAACUUCUACCUAUCUACUUAACAGAAUACCCACCAGAUUACUUCAUAAUUAAUCUCCUCAUGAAAUCUUGUAUGGGAAAAUUCCAUCCUAUACUCACUUGAGGAUUUUUGGUUCAGAAUACCCACCAGAUUACUUCAUAAUGAAUCUCUUCAUGAAAUCUUGUAUGGGAAAACUCCAUCCUAUACUCACUUGAGGAUAUUUGGUUGCCUUGCCUAUGCCACUGUCCCCAUCCCUCAAAAGGACAAGUUAACACCAAGAGCCAUUCCCUGUGUUUUCAUGGGCUAUCCUUUUGGCAAAAAAGGUUAUAGACUAUAUGAUCUUGCUUCCAAGAAGUAUCUGGUCUCCAGGGAUGUCAUUUUUCAUGAAUCAUGUUUUCCAUUUAAAUCUGUGUCUCCUUCUGCUCAUCCUCCUGCUUCUUCCUUUCCUUUUGUUCCUUCUGGAGAACUUGAUGAUGAAUCUGAUUCUCCCAUUCACCUCUCCACUCCCUCUUCUCCCUCAUCUGUAUAGCCACCUUUUCCUGUCACUAUCCCAAUUGAUUCAGCCUUCCCUUCUGCCAGCUCACCUCCUG